rnacentral:misc_RNA from 1 species
GAUGAAGAACGCAGCGAAAUGCGAUAAGUAGUGUGAAUUGCAGAAUUCCGUGAAUCAUCGAAUCUUUGAACGCACAUUGCGCCUUCUGGUAUUCCGGAAGGCAUGCCUGUUCGAGAGUCAUUAACAACCGUUUCGAUCCCUUUCUUUCAGAAAUUACAAAGAGGAAAAGGGUUUGGUUAUGGUGGAGGAGGGAAAGGGAGCGUUUAGCCUGUAAAAAAAGAGGCUGUGUUCCGCCUCCCCCCCAAAAUUGUACAGGCGGUCGUGUGCGCCCACGCAUCGAGGUGUUGUAAAAGCUGCCACGGCACUUUUCACCUGUGCAGUGCGAGAUUGGCCAGCCGGUUUAAAAACCCCUCCAAACAAUCAAAGGUUGACUUCGGAUCAGGUAGGGAUACCCGCUGAACUUAAGCAUAUCAAUAAGCGGAGGA